UACGAGGGGGGCGAGCGUUGUUCGGAAUUAUUGGGCGUAAAGGGUGCGUAGGCGGCCACUUAAGUCCUGCGUGAAAUCUUGCGGCUCAACCGCAAGCGGUCGUGGGAAACUGGGUGGCUAGAGUGCGGGAGAGGAGAGUGGAAUUCCUGGUGUAGCGGUGGAAUGCGCAGAUAUCAGGAAGAACACCCGUGGCGAAGGCGGCUCUCUGGAACGCAACUGACGCUGAGAAGCGAAAGCAUGGGGAGCGAACAGG
rnacentral:rRNA from 1 species